rnacentral:rRNA from 1 species
GACGAACGCUGGCGGCGUGCUUAACACAUGCAAGUCGAACGAUGAAACCUAGCUUGCUAGGUCGAUUAGUGGCGAACGGGUGAGUAACACGUGACUAACCUGCCCCUUUCUCUGGGAUAACGCUCCGAAAGGAGUGCUAAUACCGGAUACUCACACCGAGGCACAUGCCUUGGUGUGGAAAGUUUUUCGGAAAGGGAUGGAGUCGCGGCCUAUCAGCUUGUUGGUGAGGUAACAGCUCACCAAGGCGACGACGGGUAGCCGGCCUGAGAGGGCGAACGGCCACCCUGGGACUGAGACACGGCCCAGACUCCUACGGGAGGCAGCAGUGGGGAAUAUUGCACAAUGGGCGCAAGCCUGAUGCAGCGACGCCGCGUGAGGGAUGAAGGUCUUCGGAUUGUAAACCUCUUUCAGUAGGGACGAAGCGAAAGUGACGGUACCUAAAGAAGAAGCACCGGCUAACUACGUGCCAGCCGCCGCCGUAA